GCAAGCAGGAGGGAGUUGCACCCAGUUGCUUCUUCACUCCCGUUGUUUGGCAAGUGGGAGGAAGUGUCACAGCUCUUUUAUUUCUGCCACCCACAGCUUGGUGAGUAGGAGCAUUACAGCUCUUUUGCUCCCACAGUUCAGCAAAUUCUGAGUUCCUGUCCCAUGACCAAGAGGAAUGAGGAACAUGGACACCGGAGAAUGAGUAAGGCAGAGUAGAAUUUUAUUCAUCAGCGAGAGGGGACCUGAAAGCAGGUCGCCAUCUGUGAGGAUUAAAGUUAGGACCAAAUGCUGCUCAGAAAUUGUUUUAAUCUCAAAAGUAGUUGGCAAGUUUUCAGAGUUCAUUUUCAAGGCCUGGUGUAUGCAUUGGUUACAUGAAAACCGUGUGACAACCUUGGAAGUCUGAAAGAGCAGGAGAGAGGCUAAGCACACACAUAUUGUGAUUUUAAGAGUCUCAAGGUGAGAAGAAACAUCAGAAGCAGUUGAGAGACCAGGACGUGGGUCCUCAAAGGAUGAACAGAAGUUCUUUUGGAUAACAUUUUAAAAUGUUUCCUCCAGAGUUAUCUGCCUCAUUAACAAUGGUUUGAGUCUCAAGAGUCUCUCUUCGAUUUUACAAACAUGAUUUGUUGCUCUGCUAUAAAUGCAUGCUGCUCUAGUCCUUCAAUAAACCCACAACAUGUUUUCACCAUU
rnacentral:lncRNA from 10 species